AUAUUUUGAAUUAAGUAUAUUCAUAAUAUGUUAUCAGACGAAUGUUGUUAAAGAUAUAGGUUGAUAUUUGUGAAGGGAAAGAGUUGCCUCUCUCCCAACAAACAUUGCACACAAGGUGGAUAUGGAUUUUUUAGAGUGCCAUAAACACUCGUUAUGAAUGAUCCUUCCGCAGGUUCACCUACGGAAA
rnacentral:misc_RNA from 1 species